GUCCAUCCUGUCUCAGUCUUUCUGAGUUUAACAUCAGUAGCACCAAGUUUCGACUAGGGUGUACACAGUGUAUUUGCUUCAGCUGAUUUGUUUUCCAAAAAGAAUGAAGAUGGAAACACUGGUGAGAGGCUGUCCUUUGGAACCAGGAUAUUCAUGCCCAGAUGAAUCAACAGACGUGGAAAGCUUUGAGAAUUACAGAAUCUGGCUGUUUGAAAAGACUUGGAGAGGAGCACCUAAUCUCACCCACCUUUGAUGUCAUCAAAACCAUCACCAAGUCUGGAGAAGUUCAUCCUCCCAUAGAAAUUCAAGAGCAAGAACCCUGGAAAAUCUGAGUUCCUGCUCCCCUGAAGAGCCCAUAUGUGAACAGAAACUUCUUCCCUAAAGACCGAGUGAUGAUCAGGAGGAAAAGGCAACAAUGGACGGCUGGAAUUCCAUCCAAACCACCAGAUCCCAAUGCCUGAAUAGAGCUUUACCUACAAACUAUGCUAUGUUUGCUGUUUUCCCUGUCUGAUUACUUACUUGUGUGUUUAUUAUAGUCUAUAUGUGGGCUGUGUGAUGUAUUUACAAUAUUCCAAGUAGAAACGAAAUUGAUGCUAUUUCACCUUUUGGCUGCUUUCCUGUUUUCCUUUCACCAGCAACUGACAAUGUACUUCUUUAGAAAGGCAUUUUGGGGACCC